rnacentral:lncRNA from 1 species
ACAUCGCCCCACAUCACCCCAUAGCCUGCCCCAUAGCGCAACCCACAGUGCCCCACAUCACCCCACAGCCUGCCCCAUAGCGUGACCCAGAGUGCCCCUACAUCGCCCCACAUCGCCCCAUAGCCUGCCCCAUAGUGUGACCCACAUUACCCCAUAUCAUGCCCCAUAGCGCGACCCAGAGUGCCCCCACCUUGCCCCGUAGUGCCAUACAGUGCCCCACAUCGCCCCAUAGCGUGCCCCAUAGCGUACCCCAGGGUGCCCCCUAGCCCCACAUCACCCCAUAGCACAACCCCUAGCCCCCCCCAGCCCCACAUCGCCCCACGCUUUUCCCCUCCCUCCCCACACAGAGCUGCCGCGCUGCCCUAUGGCGGAUGUGGGACGCGCUAUGGGGCAGAGCUAUGGGGCGGCGCUCCCCGAGCACCCCGCCCCAUACGCCACUCCUGCCCCACACCGACCUGUGGGAUGAAGAAGAGGAGGAAGAGGAGAGUGGGGCGCUGUGGGGCCACGGCCCCCCCGGGAGCCCCACCGCCUUCCGCCCCACUGCCUCCACCCCACAGCACCGUGGGUCGCCACCAAGCACCCCCGAGGGCAGCCCCACCGCUAUGGGGCGCCUACGCCGCACUCUCACCUUCGAGGAGGAUCCAGAGCUCCCUAGCGUCGCCCCAUAGCGCCGCCCCAUAGCGCUGCCCCAUAAGGGGGGCGCUGAUUGGCCAACGGGACGGAAACAACGCUUCUGGUUGGCCGAUGGGACGGGACUGAGUUCUGAUUGGCUGAAGGAAUGCCGCUUGAUUGGCCGAAGGAACAGGAACAAUCUUCUGAUUGGCCAAAGGAAUAGCAGAAUGCUUCUGAUUGGCCAAUGCGCUAGGAAUGCAUUCUGAUUGGCUGAAGGAAUGGGAGCAGCACUCCUGAUUGGCCAGCGGGUGGCGCUGGGAUCCGCCCAUUAAAGUGCUAAACCGCUACGGAGGGGGGGCGUGGCCGAACAUAAGCCCCGCCCACUCCAGUGCCCUGCCGCAAUCCCAUUGGCUGACGUCAACGUCGCCGCGCCAUAUAUGGACACAGGCUGCCGCGAGUCGAUUUGCAUAGCCACGCUCGCCGCGUCGCGAUUUGCAUAAAUCUUUCAUAUUCAUGAGCUUGGCCCACGCCCUCCCGCCUCUCCAGCAGGGACCCCGAUGGGAGAAUCGAGUGGAGGCGAAUCUGUGGGGCAGAUGUGGGGUGUCUAUGGGGCAGAUGUGGG